rnacentral:misc_RNA from 1 species
UCUUCUCCCAACCCUCCGGCAGGAAGGGAAAGCCACCAGCCCUGGCUGCGGGGUGCGGGGUGGUGCUUCCCUCCCGGGGGGGAAGGC